rnacentral:rRNA from 1 species
GACGAACGCUGGCGGCGUGCCUAAUACAUGCAAGUCGAACGCAGUGGGGACGGGUGAGUAACACGUGGGUAACCUCCCAUCAGAGGGGAUAACACUUGGAAACAGGUGCUAAACCGAUACUGAUGGAUGGACCCGCGGUGCAUUAGCUAGUUGGUGAGGUAACGGCUCACCAAGGCCACGAUGCAUAGCCGGCCUGGGAGGGUGAAUGGGCAAAACGGGGAUGGGAAACGGCCCAGACUCCUACGGGAGGCAGCAGUAGGGAAUCUUCGGAAAUGGACGGAAGUCUGACCGAGCAACGCCGCGUGAGUGAAGAAGGUUUUCGGAUCGUAAAGCUCUGUUGUUAGGGAAGCGGUAACUAACCAGAAAGCGACGGCUAACUACGUGCCAGCAGCCGCGGUAAUAC